rnacentral:rRNA from 1 species
AACGCGAAGAACCUUACCUGGGUUUGACAUGCAGCUGCAAGGGGUGUGAAAACAUCCCGCCUUCGAGGGUGCUGCACAGGUGCUGCAUGGCUGUCGUCAGUUCGUGCCGUGAGGUGUUUGGUUAAGUCCACCAACGAACGCAACCCCUAUGGUCCGUUGCCACCGGGCAAAGCCGGGAACUCAGACCACACUGCCUGUUUACGCAGGAGGAAGGUGGGGAUGACGUCAAGUCAGUAUGGCCCUUACGCCCAGGGCUGCACACGUGCUACAAUGGCAGGUACAGAGGGAUGCGAAGCCGCGAGGCGGAGCGAACCCCAGAGAGCCUGCCCCAGUUCGGAUUGGGGUCUGCAACCCGACCCCAUGAAGUCGGAUUUGCUAGUAACGGCGCAUCAGCUACGGCGCCGUGAAUGCGUUCCCGGGCCUUGUACACACCGCCCGU